AACGAACGUUAGCGGCGCGCCUAACACAUGCAAGUCGCACGAGAAAGGGCUUCGGCCUCGGUAAAGUGGGCGCACGGGUGAGUAACACGUGGGUAAUCUGCCCUCGAGCGGGGGGAUAACAUUCCGAAAGGAGUGCUAAUACCGCAUAAGACCACGACCUACGAAAGAGGAUGCGGUCAAAGCUGGCCUCUAUACAUAAGCUAGCACUUGAGGAUGAGCCCGCGGCGCAUCAGGUAGUUGGUGAGGUAACGGCUCACCAAGACCAAAGACGCGUAGCUGGUCUGAGAGGAUGAUCAGCCACACUGGAACUGAGACAC
rnacentral:rRNA from 1 species